rnacentral:misc_RNA from 1 species
UUAAGUUCAGCGGGUAGUCUCACCCGAUUUGAGGUCAAGGUCUGUUUCGUGGGUCCAGCCUCCCGCCAACGUAGAUGGCGGCGACCGAAGCACCAUCGUUUGUCCAUGAGACGAUUGGGAGCAGGGACGACGCCGGAUCCAAAACGUAGAAACAUCUUAUCACGUCAAGGACCAGCAAAGCAGACCCCACUGAUUCCUUU